UCGAGAAUCAUUCGCAAUGGGCGAAAGCCUGACGAUGCGACGCCGUGUGGACGAUGAAGGCCUUCGGGUUGUAAAGUCCUUUCGCAAGGGAACAAGAGAUAGUGACUAAUAAUCACUAAAUUUGAGGGUACCUUGUAAAGAAGCACCGGCUAACUCCGUGCCAGCAGCUGCGGUAAUACGGAGGGUGCAAGCAUUAAUCGGAUUUAUUGGGUGUAAAGAGCGCGUAGGCGGGUCAGCAAGUCAGAUGUGA
rnacentral:rRNA from 1 species